AGCCCUCCCCGGGGGAAUGUUUUCCCGCAGAACACGCGGCACCGUCGCGAUAUUUGGGUUUUUUCUUUCUUUUUCUCCACUUUACCCUCCUGAGCGUGGCUCGCUGUCGAUCCCUCCCUCCCCGCAGCACCGGCCAGGGUUUGCAGAGCCGAAGGAAAUUCAGUGAGGUUUAAUCCUGCGCUCUCCGCGGUCAGAGCAUCCUCUGGCAGCUGGAGCACGGCGGGGAUGCAGAUUUGGGAUGCAGUUCUGGGAUGCAGGUUUGGGAUGCAGGUUUGGGAUGCAGAUCUGGGAUGCAGGUUUGGGAUGCAGGUUUGGGAUGCAGGUUUGGGAUGCAGGUUUGGGAUGCAGGUUUGGGAUGCAGGUUUGGGAUGAGGUUUGGGAUGCGGGUUUGGGAUGCAGAUUUGGGAUGCAGGUUUGGGAUGCAGGAUUGGGAUGCAGAUCUGGGAUGCAGGAUUGGGAUGAGGUUUGGGAUGCAGAUUUGGGAUGCAGAUCUGGGAUGCAGGUUUGGGAUGAGGUUUGGGAUGCAGGUUUGGGAUGCAGGAUUGGGAUGCAGGUUUGGGAUGCAGGUUGGGAUGCAGGUUUGGGAUGCAGGUUUGGGAUGCAGGUUUGGGAUGCAGGUUUGGGAUGCAGGAUUGGGAUGCAGGUUUGGGAUGCAGGUUGGGAUGCAGGUUUGGGAUGCAGUUUGGGAUGCAGGUUUGGGAUGCAGGACACGAGGACACGGCCGGGGUUGGGACCCCCGUGGGGCACAGGGUUAUUCCAAGUGUCACCAGGAGCGAUUUUCCAUGCAGAACCCCCCAAAGUCCCGCCGUGCUGGAGGUGGGAGGGGAUUUCUGGAGCAGCAGGGAUUAAUUAACUAAUUAAUCAAUCAAUAAUUAAUAUCGGGAGCUCGCUGCACCAAUGAGGCACCUGGCUGCACCUGGCCAUGGAUCUGGGCUCGGGAAAUUAAAAUGUUAUUGAUGGGGGAAGAAAAGUGCAAUGGGAUUUUUUUAUUUUCUAAUUAUUUUUUUUUAAUUUGAAUUUUCUUUCUCUUUGGUCAAGCCGGGAGCACAAAGAGCCCCAUCCCGAAUCUCCAGGAGUUUCCUGCUGCAUCCCAUCCCAAGGGAAUGCUCUGGACUGAAAUUGCCUUUAUUUGUGGGGUUUUUCCCCCUCUACACUCCUAGGAAGCAACACAGGGCACAAAUACAGGGUUUUAGGCGCAAUCUGUGCCCCAGCCAGAUCCAGAUCCAGGAUCCCAGAGCCAGGUCCAUGGAAGGCUAAAGAACCACAAACUCUCCAUGGAAUUCUCCACUACACAGGAAUAAAUAUGGAUAUCGAGGUGUUCUUGGAAAAUCCAGAUGUGGUGAAAAUUCCCACUGGGAUUUUUGGGUUGUUGGGUUCUGGUUUUUUUAGGGUUGAUUUUUUUUAUUUUUCUUUUUUUUUUAUGGGAGUUUUGUUUAUUCUGUUUUUGUGUUAGGAACAGUACUUUAAAGGUCUG